rnacentral:rRNA from 1 species
UACGGAGGGUGCAAGCGUUAAUCGGAAUUACUGGGCGUAAAGCGCGCGUAGGCGGCUGGGUAAGUCGAUUGUGAAAGCCCCGGGCUCAACCUGGGAAUUGCAGUCGAGACUGCUCGGCUAGAGUGUGGGAGAGGGUGGUGGAAUUCCCGGUGUAGCGGUGAAAUGCGUAGAUAUCGGGAGGAUCAUCAAAGGCUACGGCGACCACCGGGAUCUACACUGACGCUGAGGUGCGAAAGCCAGGGGAGCGAACGGG